rnacentral:lncRNA from 1 species
UUUUUUUUUUUUUUUUGGGUUGGUUCGAGUAAGUUGGAUUGACAUCCUCUCACUCUGAAUGAUUCAACCUCAGGUAACUCAUUAGGUAAAUCCAUUGUUUAACUUAUUUUGAUGUGUGUUCAGAUGAAAGACUCUAGCUUAAGUUAAGGAUUAGCUUGGACUUUAAGAAUGCCACAAAAUGUGUGGUGAGCUUGAGCCUUGUUUUUAUAUGUGUAUUGUUAGGAACCUCGCUAAUUUUCAAACUUGAUUAAGUUUACAUUUUUAGGACAAAAUAGUUUUUCCGCAAAACAUUAAUUUUGAAUAUUUUUGGGAAUUUUUCCACAAUUGAUUUUUCUUAGGUAUAAUUUCAAUAAGCCCUAGCAAGGAGUUUUAUAUAUAAUAAUAAAUUAAUUAAAAAAUUUCAAGUUCAUAUGGUAAAUGAUAAAUUAUUUAUCUUAAACCAUUUAGUUUGGAUGACAUCUGUUAUAGUAUAAAAUUCAACUUAUAAUAAAAAUGUCAUCAUAUAACGUAUCUUAAACCAUUUAUUUUGUAUUCUUCUUUCUAUAUAUAUUUUCUCUUAUAUUUUAUAUUUGAUUUGUAUCCGUAUGUUUCUCAAAUCAUUGACAUGUUUACAAUAAUAAAUAACUUAUUCAACUACCAAUCAUUUGAUAUUCAUUUAUUACACAAUAUUAAUUUAAAUGUUUAAUAAAUAUAAGAUAUAUAUUAAAAACUCUUCAAUAUUGAUAUUAAUUAGUAGAAACAUGAUGGGUUAUGAAAGUUUUAAAUAAAUAUGGUACAAAAUGAUAAUUUGUUUUGAACCAUAUUCUUCAUUUAAAUGGCCCCUAUUAUAUAAUUUAUAAAAAUAAAAAUUAUACUAUAAUCUUACUGUAUUCUCUCUUGUCUUUGUAUGACAUUAUCUUACCAUAAUCUUAUUGUAUCUACUCAUUCCCAGAAAAUAAUAUCAUCUUGAAAACAAAAUGCUACAUCAAGAGUCUUAAAAUUAACAUUAAGAGAAGAAUAAUCAUUACAAAAUGUUGAAAGGAAUCCCCAAAUAAAUGACAAUUAGGAGGAAACAAACCACCCCAUAUUCCCAUAGUUACCACUAGCUCCAGUGACACCACUAGGCGCAAGUAAGUUGCUAAAUUAGCUUAAUACAACAAAACCACCCACAUCCACAUCCACAUAAACAUACACAUACACAUACGCAUACACAUACACAUACACAUACACAUACACAUACACAUAAACAAGCACACAUAACCUCCCAAAAAAAACAGGCAGAAAAAAGGUAACACCCAGGGGCCAGGGCCUCAUCCCGCAAACAGUUUACCAUUUGCUAUAGAGACGACCUUUUUUCGGUCAGACUGUGAUUAGUCAACUCAAAAGAUAUAACAAAAAACAUGUUUGUUUUUCAGAUGCGAAGUGGGCCCGAUUCCUUGUUUUUCAAAGAUAAUUUUGAAAACUGAGAUUCCACACUAUCUCUACUGUUGCUUCGCUGAUGCCUAACAAUCGGCUCUUCAGAUGCUGGUUGUUGCUGUUGUUUAUACAACCCUCUCAGUCUGCCAAUCUCUCUCUCUAAAACUUCAUGUUCCACUGCAAAAAACCAACAUUUGCUUUAGUUUUCCACCUAUGAAAUAGAGUUAAAUGCUACAAUUUUACCAAAUUCAUGCAGCAAUGCCUCACUUCUUUUACCAAUUUUUCACAUAUGAAAAGAACCAGAUUAUAAGAGAAGAUGUAGACCAAUUACAUUAAAAUUUUGCAUGUUUAGAAACUUACAGUAUUUGAUAAGUUGCUCUUGAGCCAAAUUCUCUAACCGCUGUUUCAGUGCUUUGUUCUCCAUGUUCAGAAUAAGACUUUGCUGGUUUAGAAACUUUAGUUGAGCAGAUACCUCAGAACCUUCUGCCUGCAAUCACAUCAUAUAUCUUAAGUAUAGAUAUAUAAAACAGCUAUCAAAUAUCAAUAACAAGUUUUUUGUUUGAAUUAUAAUCCACCUGUAAAGCUUGUACAUUCCUUUCCAAUUCUGCUAUGUAUUGAAGCUUUCGCACCCGAGAACGUUGAGCAAAUUGCCUGUUAUUAUAUUUGUUCAUAAAAGUUAAUAAUCACACGAUAAAUCCAGAUCAUCAUCUUUAAUCUUUUGUUAUUAGUGGAACAUGUUACCAAAACCACUCAUACAGAUGGGGCCCGUUAUCAAAAGCAGGAAUACCAACUUGGAACUUUUAAAAAUAUUGUUAAACUACAUUUCCUUAUUGGCACCAGAAAACAAGGAUUAUCAUACAUGCCAUCUUGAAAAGGAAAGUAAAAUAUUUCAAACCAAAGGUGGGAAAGUAAAGGGGGCCAAAUUAUAAAAAAAGUUAGGACUUAAUGGGGAAUACCCCUUAUAAUCCUUAUCCAUGAAUUUCUCUAUUAAGUCGUUCUUUCUACACUAAGUCAAAAAGAAAUAGCUUACAAGAUUAAGUUAUGUCCCCAUCAAGUCCAUUAAGUCAAAAGGAAACAGCACCUCACUCCAUUUAUUGUGAAGCAACUCUACUUUUACACUAAAAAGCUUUUUUGAAAGUAGAAAGGAGGGGAAAUUGAGAUUGUAUUUUAUGUACAAAGGUGUUAAAUUUCAUAUUUCAACUAGCAGAGUCAACUUGUAACACAGCAAACAUGAUUUACAUUUCCUAAAUCCCAAAAUGUAAAAAGGAGAAAGAGAAUUUACUUACUGCUUGGCACGUUUAGUGUCUGUUUCUGAUGCAGAACCCUUUGUAUUAGAUGAAUCACUAUGUGCAUCUUGAGUACAAGAUUCAACUGUGUCUUGCUUUUCAUUUGUUGGUGAAACAGUCUUAUUAACCUCUUGUGAACCACCCAAGGAUGUAGAAUUUUGAAGAAUAAAUCCAUCUCUAGAAGAAUUUGCUGAAUCCCAACCCCGAUUUUUGUUUUUUGUCAUUGGAUUAUGUUCUACAUAAAAAGAUGCAUUUCUAGCAUCUUUAUAAAGAUCAAAAUCUUGAGAUCCCCAUGAAGGAGGAGAUUGAGAGUUCAUGUUUCUCAAUCUGUACUCAAUUUGUGCAGCAUGUUCUAUGUUGGCAUUAGCUGCUUCCAUAUAUGUAAAAGAGUCACUUGAUGAGCGCCGAUGACCUCUUCUUACAGGUGUUUCUGGUUCAUCAAGAAGUUCAUCCAGCCAUGAAGGUUGUUCUUCUACUAGAAGGCUUUCAGAAGAAGUACGUUGAUGAUGAUGAUGAUGAUGAUGAUGUGAAUUUACAUUUCCGUCCCUAUACUUUGGUAUCCCUUUUGCUCCACUUGCAGUAGUAUAAUCAGGAUAAAAUGGGGUAAUGCUUGGGAAUGGACUUUUAGGGGGUAGGGAAUAGUGUUUUCCACUGUACAUAUUUCUUAUUGUUGAUGGUCCCUUGGAAUUCUCCAUAGCCAAAUCACAAAUUCCUGUAAAAUAAUUAUGGCAAAAGCAUAUAAGAAACUAAUAUAUUUGUGUGGCAGAAAUAACUAGUAAUGGUGAAUCAUCUAACAAAUCGUCUACAACCACCAUAAUCAAAUUAUCGUUUCUUACAGAUGAGCUUAAUAAUUUAGUACCAGUGAGGGGAGACAUCAGAUUCAAACCAAUUUCAGUUCAUACUAUUCCUAUAUAUAUCAUCCCUUAUAGUUUACACCUAAAAUUUGCACCUUCUUUCUUACUAUUGCUUUUCCUCCUAAUAAUUGAUAAAGGAACACUAAUUAAUUCUACGUAACCUACAUUCUCUCAAAAAAACCAAUAACUUUCAAGCUAAAACAAUACAAGUUCAAUCAUUCACGAGGAAUUUACUUAGCUGAUCAUUACCUUUAUCACGUAGUGAAGAUAUCCAAAUGCAAUGUGAUUUUCGGGAAAAACGAGGAUAGUAAACCAAAUCGACUCGAAUCUAAGCUCAACUUGUUGUUCUUCUUCUAGCUAGUGUUGAUCAUUAGGGUUUUCUUCCUCUUCGAACAGCUCUCACUAUCUAUGAUCUAUCUAUCUAUGGAGCUGCUAUGCUAUGCUCUGCUCUCCUCUCUUUCUCUCUCUCUCUCUAAAAUUCUUGAAUUGUCGUCAAUGUGGAUUGGGUUGCAGCUGGUCGAUGAAUAAUGAAUAAGGCUUGCUUUUGACAGCCCAAAUGAAACCAAUUUUCUUUUCUUUUGUCGUUUUCAGGUUUUUGUUUAUGAAAAUAUAAUAUCAAAUUAGAAAAUUCUAAAAUAAUAUUUAAAGAGAAAUAAAAUCUACAGAUAUAACUUUUUAACAAAAAUCAGAUAAAACGAGUACAAAAAAUACAGUUGAUUAGCUUUUUGUUGGGUUUUUUUUAUGUUGAUAAGAAUUAUUUUAAUCCAAGUCUUGAAAUGGAGCCAAUAGCAUGGAGAUGUCCUUGUCAUCACACCAAUAUAUUAAGAAAGAUUCACCAAACACAAGUAUCACCAAUGUUCAAGUUGGCCAUGUACAGCUUCUGCCAUUGGGGAUGGGGUGGAGUGGGGUACUGUAGGGUUGGAACAUUACAAAAAAAGUAAAGGUACUAAAAUAUUAAAUAUAAAAACAAAUGAAUUAAUGGUUUUUCUUUAACAAAUGUUUUAAAAUUGAAAUUAUUUAUUGGUUUAGUAAGAUGGAUUGGAAUGUGAUUCGUUAGAUUACAAAAAAUGAUGGAUAAUAUGUACAGAGGCUAAUAACAUAAAAAGUAGUAUUAUAUUUUGUCAUCUUUUUUGGAUUUAACCUUUACAUUUAGUUUGUAUUAAAAAAAAAAAAGGCACAUAUUUUUAGACAAAAAUUCUAUUAAAUCAUUAUGAACUGCAAAUACAAGUCAAACAAGUGAUGCCUUCUUUUUAAUUGUAAUAAAACCACCCAUUUAAAAGAAAAAAUUAUCUAACCAAUAUCUAUUUUUUGUUUUGUUUUUAAUUUUUUUAAUUUUAGGGCUUAUUUUUAUCUAAAAACGUCAAAUAUAUAAAAAUUUAUAAUCUUUUUUUUAUCUACAAAGAGAAAUCUAUAUCGAUGCCAAACCGCAAAGUUCGGUAUUUGAUUGAGCUAUUCGGUUUCGGUUUCUAUGAUUUAGUUUUCGUCUUUUGGAUCGAAAAUCAUUUGAUUUUGGUUUCUAUAACUUCGUCUAUUUUUUUUGUUGUUGAAAAAACAAAGCGCAAAAUUUGGUUUGUAAGUUGAACUUUCAUACAAACACAUCGACCAUUUAUAUAAUAUAAUAUAAAAACAUUAAAUUUUUGGUGAAAAAGUUAUAAAGACAAAAGGUGAAUGAUUUUUUCAAUCUAAAAAAAUCGAAACUAAAACAUAGAAACCAACACCAAAGCUUUUUCAAGAAAAAAAAAAAAACUAAACUUUAUAGUUUGGCAUCAACAAAAAAUUAUAAAGUUUAAUAUAUUGACAUUUUUUGGUUGAAAAUAAACAUCUAUUUCGAUAUAUGUUGAUGUCAAACCGUAAUUUUUUCAUGUAUUGAAAAAUCAUUCAGUUUUGAUUUCUAUGAUUUAGUUUCAACUUUUUGGAUUGAAAAAAACAUUUGAUCUUAGUCUCUAUAAUAUACUUUCAGUAAAAAAUUUGAUAUUUAUAGAAUAUGUCAUAGACUAGUCCAUGUAUUUGUAUGAAGUUGCGGUGAUGGAAAAAAUAAUAGAAACCAAAUUUUGGAGUUUGGUUUUACAAAAAAAAAAAAAAAAAGUUUUUUCAACCAAAAAAAAAGACUUGAAUUGAUUUUCAACCCAAAACAAUUUAAACCAAAUCAUACAAAUCGGGACUUAAUGAUUUUCUAACAAUAAACAUUGAACUUUACGGUUUAACAUUGACAUAUAUCGAUAUAAAUGUCUGUUUCUACAGGAAAAAGAGAUACGAUGAUGUCCGAAAAACAAAAUUAUGACGAUGUUGAGGUUUAUAGUUAACACCGUGUCUUUAAAACAAAUUCGUUUGUAACUGAAAUAUUUGUCUCCAAUAUACAACAAUGAAAAGCAGAACUUCGAGAUUGCCCGAAUCUAGCAAAACUCGAAUGCUACCUUGAGAGUAGCAUGAUUAUGUGUGUCAUGAAUGCAUCAUUUUUAUUGUUUUUUUUUUUUUUUUGAACUUAUUGCACAUCCACAUGUAUUGAUGUAUUGUUUUAGAUUGUUGGCACUCAUUGUGAUUCCUCACUUGGUCAUCCGUUUUAAAACUAAUUAAAGCAUGAUUUAUUAAAAUUUGUUGCAUCCGAAAGAACGUGUGCUAAGCGCGUAUAAUAAAGGGUCAAGUGGCUACAUGUUGGUUGUAUGGGAUUUUAUAGCUUGGUUGGGAAAAAUACUACUCUUUUCUUAAUUUUGUGAAUUAAAGAAACAUGUGAUAUUGAAAAUAUAUGUUUCUUUAUUUUAAGAGGUAAUGAAAAAUGCCUUGGGAUUCAUCCUAGUAAUGGCAGGGUCAUCACAUCUAUUUAAAAAAUAUAUUGUGUAUUUAACGAUUGGGAAAUAAAGAUUUUGGAAAUAAACGGGCGUUGUAUAUCAAAAAUGUUAAAAAGUCUUUAAGGGUUAAUAACUAAAAAACCAUUAUAUUUUGUCACAUUUUUUGGUUUAACCACCUAAUUUUCAUUUAUGCUAAAAAAAACCAUUAUUUUUUUGAUAAAAAUUCUACCAUGGCCAUUUUGACCAGUAUUUGUGCUAAAAAAAUUAUGGUUAAGCAAAACUUUUGAAAAAAGAUGGUGUUUUUUUUCCUAAUCAAAACCGGCUCUAAUAGGUAAUAGUGGUCAUGCUUUAUGUUUUAUCAAAAAUUGAUGUUUUUUUGGAACUUAUAAAAAAUUGGUGGUUAAACCGAACACUUAGAAAAAUAUGGUGCUUUUUUUGUAAUUUGCCCAAAGUCUUAAUAUAUUGAAAGGUUCCCUGAACUUAAAUCAAAGUAAAAGAGUACAAAUACAGCCCAUCACCAUAAAUACCUAAUUAAAGUAGGCAUACUGAAAGAGCUGAUGUCGGUAUUAAUUAUACAAUGAACUUCAUGAUAAGACCUUAGGAGUAAUGCAGUAAAAUACUAAAAUUAAGGGGACUUGAUACUAAUAAUGUUAUGAAGCAUAAGUAAAUGAAACUAUCAAUCAAAAUUUUGAAUAAAUUAUCCAUACCUGCUCAUGAAGCUUAAUAUCAAUAAAUGGAAGAAAAAAAAACAUUUAACCUGUAAAGAUGCAGAAUAUUUGACUAAUUCAUAUAAUAAACCAGAAUCAACUAUAUGUACACAUUAGCAAACUUCUAAAAGAGCAGGAAAAUUUUAACACCACAACAAAAAUGAAAUUCAGACCAAGGGGUUGUUUCUUUUUUACUUAAUCUGGACAGAAGGAAAUAACUGGUNCUGUAAAGAUGCAGAAUAUUUGACUAAUUCAUAUAAUAAACCAGAAUCAACUAUAUGUACACAUUAGCAAACUUCUAAAAGAGCAGGAAAAUUUUAACACCACAACAAAAAUGAAAUUCAGACCAAGGGGUUGUUUCUUUUUUACUUAAUCUGGACAGAAGGAAAUAACUGGUUAAGCCAAAAAAAAAAAAAAAAAAAAAAAAAAAAAAAAAAAAAAAAAAAAAAAAAAAAAAAAAAAAAAAAAACUAGCUUAAUGUAUCCAGACACCAACCAUUUAACUAUUUGUCAUUCUUUUUUUUCAUCCCAACUCUUCUCAUGUUAAAAUUGACCAAUACUAUGAAAAUGGUUUGUAAGGGUAAAAUGGUCAUUUAGUCUCAUUCAGCCGGUUUAUUCAGUCUAGAAAAGAAGCAGACCUUACAACACAUUCACCCACUUUACCCAUACAGUACUGAAUGGAGAAAAAAAUAAACAGCCCAUAAAUAUCAUAUAUUACAAGUUGUAGCAUUCAGAGACAUACCUUUUGAUGGUUUCAAAUGGAUCACUUUUUCAAGCCUUGGAAACCUAACCUUCUUCAGAUGCUGAAAGGUGAGAUAGGUAAAUUUUACUGUUGUUAGCAUAGUAUACCUUAGCCCCAAAAUUUUCAUUCCCAUAUCAUUACAAAAUAAAACCAACCUUUUAUUUUUAUAUGCAAAUAUCUGAGAAAACCAAAGACUAGAAUUAAUAAAAAUUUAAACCUGAUGUCAUUACCAAUAUAAACAACCGUGUAAACUGGUAACAACUAACGACACAUUUCCAGAUUUACAAAGCAAAAAAAAAAACAUUCAUUGAGCAUUGAGCAUGUAAUGUAACUCGAGUACUUUCGUCAAUUUUUCUACCUAAUAACCUGAUAUCAGUAUUACUAUAUCAUUGAGGAACUGAAAAAACCAAGUACCCAUUAUCCCAACGAACCCUAAUCUCCUGUCCAACUUGCAGCCCUUUCCCUCUGAUGAUUUGACCCCAUUUUCCAAUAAGAUUAUAGUAACUCCCACGACACUUCAACUUCAUUAAAAAAAGAUCACCUGUGUCAUAAUCUCUUGCAUUUACAUUUAUCUGAAGCUCAUUUCUUAAUUGCUCUCGUGCCUGUGAUGCCCAAUACAAAAGAAUAUGAUCUUCAAUUGAUUUCCCAGGUAAUGUGAGGAAAGGAUGAUUUGUAUCCACAUCAGAUGAAGUUAGAGCCUUUUUAAUUGGCCAUUCUUCUUGAUGAUGAUGAUGAUGUAUCACUGGGAUUGUUGUAGGGACCACAGUCUGUUCAUAAGGGACAGAAAAAUGAAGGCAGCCAUUAGCCCAUCUUAUCUUGAUCUCUUUCCCUACCCCUAGUCCCUUGCUACGGAUAAUCUUUCCCCAUUUUCCUAUUAGAUUAUAAUAAUUACCACGCCACCUCAGCUUCAUGACAUAUAUAUCCCCUGUAUCAACAUCGCGUGCAUUCAAAUUGACUUGUUCUUCGUUUCUCAAAAGCUCUCUUUGUUGAGGCGUCCAAUGGACAAGAAUAUGGUCUUCAACUGAUCUUCUUGCUAAAGGUAGAAAAGGGUGGUUUGUGUCCACAUCAGAUAGAGUUAAAACUUUUCUAAUUGGCCAUUGAUCAUGAUGGGGUACAGGUGCAGGGAUGAUUUGCAAGGGUGGAAUAGCAAGAACUUGUUGUUGAGGGACUGAAAAGUGAAGGCAUCCAUUAAACCAACGGAUUUUGAUCUCUUUUCCAACAUCGAGUCCUUUGCUACGUACGAUUCUUCCCCAUUUGCCAAUCAGAUUGUAAUAACUUCCACGCCAUUUUAACUUCAUGACAUAAAGAUCACCAGUGUCAUCAUCUUGAGCAUUGAUGGCUACUUGCUCUCUGUUUAGAAGGUGAUCGCGUUCAAGCUGUGUUAGAUGGACAAGGAUGUAGGUCUCAACUGGCUGACGAGGGAGAGUGAGAAAGGGGUGAGUUAUGUCAACGUCUGAAAGUGUGAGGGCCUUUCGGAUUGGCCAAUCAUCGUGUACUUGUAAUGCAUUGUUGUGCCUAGAACGCCUCAUGCCUGUGGACAGUGUAGAAAAAGAGAAUAAUUUGUUACGACUAGGUUUUUUUUUCUCCAAAAUAGAAUAUAGAAAUGUGAGUUAUUGAUGAUUAGAGCUUAUUUACCACAAUGUCAACGGACAAAUGGUUAUCCAUUCAGAAAUUCAAAACUAAAUAAACUUUGUUCAUAUGGAUUUUCAUUAUUCAGAGCACAUAUACAUUGAAAUUCACUAAAACCUUCCUUAAAUUCUUAUAGCAAAAGAAGUCCCAACUAUUUUAUCUGCUAAUUUUUAAUAGGCUUCUUAGUUUUGCAAAAGCAGACACCUUUUUGCUGAAGCCCUUACUCUGUGGUUUCUAGAAAAUCACAACUCUAGCAAAAAUCAAGACAAAGAUCAUAACCAAGAAUAUAACAACAUGUAGCUUUCACUACAAAGACGACAUGUAGAUAGCAGAAAAUUAGCCGAUCGGAAACCCUACAGAGCCUACAUUUGUCAAAUAACAGAGUAAACAGUAUGACACAGCAGCAAGUAGCUUUCGAUGUAAUUCUCUUAAGCUUCCACGUUUCAAGUAUCGGAAGCCCAAGUGCGUGCAGCCAAUUAAUUGCAAGUUUAAACAUAUAUAGGACUGGGGCUAGGGCUAGAGCUAGAACUUCUGCAUCUAACUUUCAAUACUAAAAAAAACAACCAGUUCAAAAGUAAAAUAAAAAUCGAGAAAACUGAAACCCAGCCUAAUCAAGUAAGGGAUUAGCUAAAAGUUUUGUACGAGAAUUAAAGACAAAUGAGCCAGAAAAGUAGUUGGAAACCCAAAUUAAAUAUGAUUUCGUACGAAGUAAGUAAUAGUACCUGCGUUUGUCAGCGAUGGGAUUUGAUCGAGAAAAACCCUAGAGAGAGAGAGUUAAGAGAAAUUGGGGAAAUUAAACAUGUACAAGUAGAAAAGGAAGAAGAUAAUGGUUAAUGGCGGCGUCGAUUGUGUGGAUGAGAUUGGUAAAAGUGGAGAUGGAGGUGGUGGUGGUGGUGAUUUUGGUGUGGGGAGGGAAGGGAGGCUGUAGCUGAACUGGCAAAAAAUGGAGGCCAAUUCGCGUGAAGACGGAGAAUCAUGUCUACCAAAUGCUAUAAAUCUUCUUUUUAAUUAUACAUUUUUUUCUCUUUUCCUUUUAUUUUUCGAUUUAGAGCAAUCUUUUCUAAAUGUCAUAAUUUUUUUUGUUAAUUUUUAGAAUCAUGUUACAUUAUUAUAUAUUACAUGAAUCAAUUAGUUUGUUUUUAUAUUAAUAUAUAACAAAAUGUUGAAUAAAAAAAAGCACAUUCUUUUACAACUUCUAAUUACUAAACACAAUAUAUUAUUUGCCAUGUAUAAUAAUCAUUUUAAAUAUAAUAAAAUCAUUUUAACUUAUACAAAUCCCAAAUAUGGACCGCCCACCUAAAUUCCAAAAAACAUUGGUGUAUGUCAUUUUUAGCAAAAUCAUCAAAAAUAUGGAAGUCGAUUUGGACACGACUGUUGGAUAUAAAGUAGUUUUUGAGUGUCUUCGAGCAUCUAAUUCUCAAAAAAAUUUCGACCAUCACAUAUCUCAUGUAGAAUACUGAACUAUCAUUUGUUACCGUCUAAUGAUUCAUCUAUUUCCGAUUGACGAGAUAUGUCCAGUUUGCCGCAAAGCAUAUUUGGACACUUUUAGGAAACAUGUGGUUCAUUGUAGAGAGUUCUCUGGUUUCAAGUGCCGACAUGAUAUGGUUAGGGAUGUUCUCUUUGAUGUUUGUCGGCGUGUUGGUAUUUUCGUGAAAAAAGAAGUGUUCGUAAAUUUUUUCACGGACCGGCUAACAUUUUGAUUUUUGGAUUGAUAGGAGGGAAGCACUUUGUGUGGAUCUCACUGGGAUCUCCCCUCUCGUCGGUUUGAGGCGCAGGGGUUUCACAACGUGGCAUGCUGUUUUGAAAGCCGCUGAAUGCAAAGUGGCAAAGCACGAUAAUGUAUGCAUUGAAAAUCGAUAUGUGUUUAUACCUUUAUCAUUUGAUCUUUUUGGUUUUCUCGCACCAAAAGCAGUGAAGCUUCUCAAUAGAGUCCAACGGGUCAUACAUUCUAAUGUUAUAUCUCCGAAUUUUAUAGAUGUUAUUUUCAAAAGAAUUAGUUUUGUCAUCCAAAAAGGACUAGCGGUAUAACUUGUUGUCAAUUUACCUUCCAACAAUAUGUAUCGACUUUUUUAUCAUCAUAAUUUAUCUAAUACUCAUAGAAGUUUAUCUUCACAAAUGGCCAGUUUUUCGAAACGAAAAUGGUCAAAGUCAAAGUCGAUUUAGAGUUCUGAUUUGGAUUUUUUUUCCACAGCCGGCGGCUAAAAAAGAAAGUAAUUUAAGAGACACAUGUUGUGCAUAUUCUAUCACAUGCACUUUUUAUAUAAAAACAUAUAAAACAAAACCUAAACGUAAUGUCUGAACAGCUCCUUCUCAUAUAUUAACCUAAUAUUGGCAAUUUCAUUCAAAACGCAUAUGGUAAAAGAUCGUAAAUGACACCAUCGAAAGUUCCAUCAUAUUAUUAAAAACAGCAUAAUCAUAACCCCCCCAACUCUGCCCUUUGCUGCUUCAUCUUGUAAAAAGUCCAUUUUUCAAGGGAUAUUUACGUUUCUUUGUUGGACAUUUUAAUCAUCUUUCCUGCAAAUCAAAGAAUAUAUUAUACAACACCUUCAACACAUAGUUAAAGAUGGGGAAUGAUUAAUGAAAAGAGUAAUUCAUACUUUGAAAGCCUCUGCUUCUUCAACAACUUCAUAGUUGUCCCUCCUCUGGCCAACCUGUGAAAAUCUUGGAUUUUCUCCAUAUCCAUAACCUCCCUGACCUCCUUGUCCGUAUUGUCCAAUACCACCACCUCCUUGCCCAAAUUGUCCACCACCACCGCCUCCUUGUCCAUAUUGUCCAGUGCCCCCUUGACCAUAAUUGCCACCACCACCCCCUUGUCCAUAUUGUCCAGGGACACCGCCUUGACCAUAACUUCCACCACCACCACCUCCUUGUCCAUAUUGUCCAGUGCCACCUUGACCAUAAUUUCCAACACCACCUCCACCUCCUUGUCCGUAUUGUCCACCUGCAGCUUGAUUAUAACUUCCACCGCCUGGUUGUCUAUAUUGUCCUCCAUAACCACCACCACCGCCUCCUCCUCCACCUUGGCCAUAUUGUCCUUCAGUUCCUUGUCUGUAGCUUCCACCACCUCCUUGGUUGUAGCCUCUUUCAGGUUGCUUGAAAGUAGAGUUCCUUGGAUCCAUUUGAGGAUAAUCUACCUGCUGCUUACUGGGGUCAACAUUUCUCCCAUCUACUUGGUUGUAAUUUGACUGAUAAGAAGGCAUGGGGCCUCUUCUAUCUCCUGCAUAAUCACCCUGUCCUCCAGGCGGACCAUUCUGCCCCAUUCCACCUCUUGGAGGUCUAUUGUAAUCUCUAUUUCGAUCACUAUACCUUCCUCCUUGUCUUCCAUAUUGUACAGGAGGUGGUCGUGGAAUUAUAGUUCCAUUGAUAUACUUGUCUCCUGAAAUUAAUGCUCAAAAAUCAUUUUUUGUUCACCAAAUUGUCAUAACAAAACUAGACCUUACCUCCAUAUUCUUUGUUUACAGGAUCGAUAUAUGAAUCAGGCAGUAUAAAAACAACCCCAGGUAAACCUGUUCAAGCAAGAGUGAGAUCGUUUACAUCAAUGAACACCAUCAACUAUGAAAAGACAUACCUUGAAACUGCUCGGAAACUUCCUCUGAUACUUGGAUCUGAAAUCCAUGGUAAAUAGUUGUGCUGCAAGCAUAGAUUUUCUUUUUUGCCUCUUCCACGCUGAAAUUAAAAAAAUAUUAGACUAAGUAAUACGCCAAAACCCUAUCUCGUAGAAGGAUCAUACUAUAAGUGCACUUAAACACGCGAUCAAAGGAAGAUACGACCUUCCAAGGACUUUGGCGGCAGUUUGGACGUAUGUUUCCACCAUCUCUUCUGGAGAUGGUUUCGGAUCUUUAGGGAAAUCCAUGGUAAUCAGCCAGUGCUCGUAAUCGCAUCCCUCGAAUAGUACAUCAUCUGGAUUGAUCUGAUCACCACCCAUGUCAACAUUGUUGUGUCUAGGUCGAGAAGAAAAGGCCCUUGAAGAUAUGAAUUGGAAGGAAAGAUUACUGGGCUUUGACUGUUUGACAUCAAAUAUGCUAGGGUUUUGUUGAGUGAUAGAGGGGGAGGAACUUGGUGCGACGGAUGGUAGGACGGAAAAGAAAUUCUUGUGAUUGAAGAUAGAUGACGUGAGAGCGAGUGAUCGCCGGAGUCGGAGAGCGUUCGCCGCCAUCAGUGGUGGUGCAGAGCCAGAAAUCGGGAGAUAACUAGGGUUUAUCCUUCAGGGUUUAACAGAUUUUGAGACCAUUCCACGUCUAUAUACUCCAUUUAAGGUUUAGUACAUAAAUGAUCCGUGAUCUAUGCACAUAUUGCUUUUUUAGUACCUAUAGCUCAAAAUUUCCUAUUUUAGUUUGCCUAACGCAAAUAGGGCGGUAGAGCUCUAUUUUGAGUAAAAAAUGUUAUUAUAUAUAUGGGGAUAGGGAAUAUACAUUACAGCCCCACCUAAGCUUAGGUACUAAACCUCUAAAAUAUGUCGUUUUAACAUGCUAAAUAUACCCGGUUUGGUUUCACUUGGUAAAUAUAUCAUUCUCCAUAACAUUUCUUUCUUUCAUUAUCGUUUUAUCAUCUCCGUUUUCUUUUCUCAAUUAUCGUUUAUUACAUCAUCCAAGUGAACAUUAGUAAACCCUAAACCUAAACCUAAACUCUAAAUUUAAACCCUAAACACUAAAGCUAAACCCUAAACCCUAAACCCUAAACUUUAACCCUAAACCCUAAACCCUAAACCCUAAACCCCAAACAUAAACCUAAACCCUAAACCUUAACCCUAAACCCUAAACCGUAAACCCUAAACCGUAAACCCUAAACAUAAACCUAAACCCUAAACCCUAAACCCUAAUCUCUAAACCCUAAACCCUAUUGUGUCGAUCUUGAAUUUACAUCUUGAAGUAUUAAUCGUGAAUCCAUUAACCGUAAUCUUUAUAUAGUAAAACAAUGUAUUUUCAAGAGGUUUAGUACCUAAGCUUAGGUGGGGCUGUAAUGUAUAUUCCCUUUUCCCUAUAUAUAUAUAUAUAUAUAUAUAUAUAUAUAUAUAUAUUGUGACAAACCGAAAUUUUUUAUCUUGUAAAUUCAGCCAAUCAACCAAAAGUCAGACUUAAUUCCAUUACCUGCUAGCUUUGUUAAGGGUCAUUCUAAUGAGUUCUAAGCCUAGUACACUCAAGGGUUGAGUGUGAGGGAGUAUUAGCUCGAGAUCAGAAGGCUUCACCUGAACUAGAGAACCAAACAUUUGAGGUUCACGACCGCAAACCUAGUUCACGGCCGUGAACUCUCUUAUGGUUGUGAACUUUCCCCAAUAUGUAUAGAUUUCCCUCAUUUCUUCAUCAUUCUUCACAAUCCAAACUCAAGAACUUCCAUUCUCUCUCAAGUAUCAUGAAUAAUUACUUCCAUUUCUCGUCUAAAUCGUAAGUGAUUCUUCCUUUUGUUCCUUGAUAUCCUUCAUGAUCUAGUACAACCCUAUGAUUUUAUCCAUGAAUUCACCACUUUUGUCUAGAUCUUCAAGAUCAUCAACUUUCACCAANAUAUAUAUAUAUAUAUAUUAAAGUCUUGAAAGAUUUUAACAGUAAAGUUUCAACUUCUGACUUUUGCCACUAAUGUUUUAACUUUUGAAUUCUUACUUCAAAUGUGGCAUUUUUUGUCGAUACCCAGAUUUUGUGUCCCCGUUUAUGUAUUUCAUAUUUAUUUUCCAGAUCCUUCCACAACCUUUGUCGGGUUACGUUUCCCAAUCCUUCCAUCCCUCUCUUCGUCAUGGAUAUUCUCGAUUUUGUUUGCUUUGUCUCAAACGAGAACGUCUCCUUCCUCAUUCCACAAAGUGUCGAACCCGUUCCGUCCGCCGCCCACCACCUCUCCGGAUACAGCCUCAAGCAGAGCUUUCGAUACUGUUUUUUCGAUCGUCUCCACUGCUCUCUUCCCUAAACACUUUCAAAUAAAAAUAGGAAGAAAUGGAAGGUGAAUUCAUGUUUGGCUUCGAUUUUGAAGGUAUGUACCCAAGUGAGCCCUAAUUUUUUAUCCAAUCAUGCCAUCAACCAUAUUUGAGUGAAACUGGGGUAAAGCUUUAUAGGUCCACUCCACUAACUUUAGUAAAGAGCCGCUUGAACUCAAAACGGAUUCGAAAAUGGGGGCGAUUAAAGGCGGUGAAAUGGUUUACAUGAUAUAUAGAGUUGUCACAUAUGGUCUAUCACCGCUGAUAAAUCUUCAUCUCCGAUGGUGCAAGUUCUGAGGCCUCGAGCAUCCUCUCCGGUGGCCGAAACGCCUCGGUCGACUGUCUCUCCCUUGGCUCCCUUACUUGAGCGGUUCUUUUACAGGGUAACAUUUCAAUCCUAAUAUUUGUAUCUAAGGUUGCACACGAAGUGUUUGUGAUAUUGCUUCAUUAAAUAGAGAAAUAGUUGAAUACCCCCAAACUUUCUUUGAUCGGUGGUUUGGGCAUUGGCCAAUGACCCCCCAUUGAGGGAUGCCCUACUAUGUUUCAAACCAUAUGCAACUUACCACCUGGUUACCAUCAGGUUAGUUCUUCGAUACUUCAAACAUUUAGGGUUCUUAGUUCUCAAGAUUAAUAACUGAAUCUUCAUAAUCAUAGUUUACCUCAUCUUGCAGUAUAAAUUCAUUGUUGAUGGUGAAUGGAGGCAUGAUAAGCACCAACCUUUUGUAACUGGUAAUUAUGGUGUUGUGAAUACCAUACUCUUAGCUAGGGAGCCAGACUUCACUCCUUCAGCCUUGACCCCACAUACCACUUCUGGUUCAAGCAUGGAUGCAGACAAUGAGGUAUAUUAACUAUAAAAUCUUUCAUCACAAUAUUAUUUCCACUUAUUUUCUAUAUGAGUCUAGGGUGACAUUAACUUAUGAUUUGUUAUCCUAAAACAAGGAAAUAUGGAGCAGGAUGUAACCCCAGAUAAGAACUCACAGACUGGCCGUGGUGGAAGACAGCCGGAUUAAGCAGAAAAUUCCUGACAAUCAACUGACGGUUGAUGCUAAGGUCUGUAUUCUUCAGAUAAUGCAACUUUUAACUUGGAAAAAAUAAGUUUAUUUGAUUAAAGAAGCCAAAUAUUGCCAUUUAUUCAAUAACUUGACUGAGUAAGCAGAAAAAAAAGGUAAUUAAAUUUAUUAUGUAAACAAAGAAAGUAUUUAUUUAUUUAUUUUAUUCGCGAUUGUUUGGCUUAGUUAUAUACCAAAGACAUUACCCCUUAUGAUAACCAAGAACUGGAUGAAUCUUUACGUAGAGAAGUAAGUAACACUAAUCCAGAUCCAAAUCCAACAUCUAGAUUAUCUUUAUAAGAUCUUUAUGAUGAUUACUUGGUGUUAUACUGUUAUGUGAAUUGCAGAUUGAAGCUGCUUUUCAUACAAAUGAAAUUAGAAGGACUCUACCAACUCCACAAGAUGAAAUGAGAGCUGGAAUGAGUUACUUCCAUGAAACAAUCUGGAAAGGUGUCCCUAAAUUCUUAAGACGUGUUGACACUGCUCUUAAGAACAUUGGAAUCAAUGAGCGAGAUCCCUAUAAUGCCCCUAUGAUUCAGUUCUCUACAUGGAUGGGUGGUGAUCGUCAUGGAAAUCCUAGGGUUACCCCUGAAGUAACCAGAGAUAUUUGCUUGCUUGCAAGAAUGAUGGCUGCAAACAUGUACUUUUGUAACAUCCGGAUUUUCAGGGUUAUUAUUGUGUAGGCUAAUCUUUUGAUUAAAUGAGAGACUCGACAAGUUGAGGAUCCAACUCGCCGAGUCGAGUCGGGUUUCUCACGCGGAUUUAAUGAGUGGACUCAACGAGUCAGAGGAAGGACUCGCCGAGUAGGUGUUGGGCAAAGAAACCCUAAUUUCUCGGGUUUGGGACCUAUUUAAAGGUCCUUAUGGCCUUCAUUUGCGGCUACCACACCCUGAGAAACCAUAGAGAGCAGAGAGGAAGCUUGUAGUGUAAGAGGAAGGCUAAUUCAUCAUCCUUUGGAGUGUCUUAGAAAAGGGAAGGAAGGAUUUCGAGUUGGGCUGUCUUGUGGGACUCAAAUCUUCCAUCAUUUCGUUCAGAGCUGCUGUGAGAGGUAAGGAUUCAUGUCCAUCUGCGUUUGUUUAGUAGAUUUCAUGAAUCUAGGGUUUCUUCAUGCUUUAUUUAGCAUGAAUCUAGAGUAUGAGAGGUCCCAUGGUAAAAUGAUUCCUAGAUCUGGACCUUAAGAGGUCCAGAGAGUCCCUUCCAUUAUGCUUUAUGCCUUUUCCUUGGAGUUAUGAGCUAGGGUUGUCAUGAUAUGAAGGAUUUCACCAAAAUAAGCAUAAAGAGCCUUGCAUGUGUACAAAGAUUCGACCUUUACGUAGUUAUUGGUCGUAAGGAAGCCAUAUCUAUGGAUUAGAGGAACAGAUCUGACCUCAAAAGGUCAGAUGAGUGUUGUCAUUGGAGCAACUCGCCGAGUCCAUGGGAAAACUCGACGAGUCGAGUCGGGUUGCCCCGCGAUUCGAUUGCAGUGGAAACCCGUCGAGUGAAAGGUUCACUCGACGAGUCGAGUGAGGCCUUAGAGGAGUCGGGUGACACGCAUGGACCCGCCGAGUCACUCUUGUGCACUCGACGAGUCUGGUCAGAGUUGAUCGUUGACUUGAAUUGACUUCUGUUAACUUUGGGGUUUUUGUCAACAUGAGUAAUAAAGCUCAUAGAGGGGUAAAAUGGUAUUUUACCCACUACCCAAUUAGAGAAGGAAAGAGAAAUUGUCGGUUUAAUUAGAGAUAUUUGCCUUAUGUGUUAGGCGGUGGCGAGUUCGAGAUUCAAGUGUAAGGAUAACUGCUUUCUGCUUUCAGGUGAGUCUUCUCACUAUACUUUUACUUAGAGUAGUAAUUAGAGUUACAUGACAGAGUAUCUUGUAUGCUAUUAUGUGAUUGUGAUACACUGCAUUAUUUCUAUGAGAUUCAUGCAGUGUAUGUUCCAGAGUUUACAGAGUUGGAACCGGAAGGUUCACAGAGUUAGGACCAGAGGGUCCACAGAGUUAGGACCGGAGGGUCCACAGAGGUAUAGCCUCGAGGGGCUAGUAUGUGUUAUGUGUGGUAUUUUGGGGAACUCACUAAGCUUCGUGCUUACCGUGUUAUGUGUUAUGUGUUAUGUGUUUCAGGUUUUCUCAGGAUCACGGGACGACACCAACUCGAUUGUACACACCAGAGGAAGAGUUAUGUUUUAGAGGAUCCUGGAUUAUUAUUUAAUUGAUUAUGGAGUUAUGUUUUGUAAUUUAAACAAAAUGAGAUUUUUACGAAAAGUGUUUUAAGAAUUAAGCGAAUUUAAAUGAAAAUUUUAGUUUUGAAAAUUACGGUGUUACAAGAUGGUAUCAGAGCCUUGGUUUCGGGUAAAUCUGGACUCAAACUGAGGAUUUGAGAAAAUUUUCAAAAGAGAUGAUUUUACUAGAGCGAAUAAGAGUUUCAAAGAGAAAGUGAGAAAGGGAAGUGUGUACAAUCAGACAGAGCUCGAACGGUGAUUCCCCAAAAUACCCUACUUUUAUGUUAUGAGAUAUUUAUGAGACAUUGUAUGAGAUAUUAUGCAUGCUAGAGACAGGCUAGGUGAUAGUUGCAAUUUUAGCUAUAUUUUUAUGCUUGAUUUUUAUUAUUUAUUAGCUAUUUAUUUGCAUAUUAGGGACAAAAGAUACUUAAAAGUGUGUGAAUUGUGUUUUCAGUCCAAAAAGAAUGUUUGGGAGCAAAAAGAAGCAGGAGUACUCAUUGGGAAGCUUUGGAAUGAUCAAAAGAAGAAAAGGCCAAAAAAAUUGAAGGGACUCGGCGAGUCGUGUCGACGACUCGACGAUUCGAUACGAAGAUUCGAGAAGCUAAGGAGUUCUUGACUUACCGUGCACGGGAAUUAAGGGAUGGACUCGACGAGUCGGUCAUGGACUCGACGAGUCGGGUCGAAUCUAUAAAAAUGACUUUUCAGAUCGACACAAGGAAUUCUGGAGAACCCUUGGGGAGAAAAGCUGUGAAUAAAAGUCAGAGAAGACCUAGAGAACGAAGAUCCAACCCUAAAUCCGAUUCUGAAGGAGAUUAGAGGCAAUUUUCAUUACUUUCAAUUCAAUCUAUUAUUUCCAGCAUGUAUAGACAUAUAGAUUUUGUGUUUAUGCUUUCAAUUGCCUCAAUCAUGAGCUAAAAACUUUUAACUUCUGUUUGGGGAGACAAUAUUGAGACUAUGGUUUGAUUGGUGGUAGGAUUAGUUUAAUGUUGGUGAUUUUGUUAAUCUUAGCUUGUUAAAGAACCUUAUGUGUGAAUGAUAAUUGUUUUUCUGUUAAUAGGAAGAGAAUUAAGCUGCAUGAACAUCUCUUAAUUGUUUACCUCAUAUAAUUCAUGUGACCACUUUAUUAUAUGACUAGGAUUAGCUAAUGUGAAACUAGAAUUAAUAGGAAAAUAGGUAAAUUCACGUGUGAGCUUGUGUGAUGACCAUCAACAAGAGGUUAACUAAAGGGACAAUUUAGUUGACCAUUACAAGUAUAAAUUAACCCGAAUAAAUAACCUAGGAAAUUAAAGUAAAUUAGACAACUGGUCAUUGUUUGAGUUAGUUUGUUUUCUAAGGAUUAGUGUAGCGAAUUUGAACCUAAUCACUUGAAUCGGUAGCCAAUAGAACAACUAAUCCAUUGCACUAUUACCAUAAAAUCAACCAUAGGAUCAAUUGAGUUGAACCUAAACAGAAGUUUCCUUCAGUAUUGAAUUUAGUUGAAUCUUUUCUUUCCUAGUUUCUAGUUAAUUAGUUUAAUUAUUAGUUAGUAAGUUUCUAGUCUUGCAAAGCUAGAGAAAACAAUCUCUUUUAUUAUUUGUUAGUGGCCUUUAGAUAAUUUUAGUAAUUCGUUCAAAUUGUCGUUCCCUGAGUUCGAUACCCUGCUUACUAGAUCUAUUCCACCAAUUGACAAGUCCAUUGCCUUUUGUGUGAUUAAUUACAUUUUAUAAGUAGGAAUAAAACUAGUUGGUUUUACACACAUCACUAGGUAUUUCAUAUUUUAGGACUAGAGUGGCGUCAUUUGUGACGCCUUAGCCUAGGGUUGUUGUUAUAUGUGAUGUGCUUUCGAGUAUGUGUUGUGUAAGAGUGUCCAACAGGAAUCCUUUUAGGGGAUUCAAGUAGAGGAGUAAUCUAGAAGAGGUAUCUAUAUAAGCAUAUGAGGAGCCUGCCGAGAGGGUAGCCAGAUGCCCACGUGGGGCGGAGUUGUUAGAGUCGGUGAUAUCCUUCAAGUUUAUGGACGGCGAGUAGAUAAUAACCUAAGGAGGUUUUACGUGCUAAAGGAGAUGCUUCGAUGCAUGAAUGCUUGCUUUGUGCUUUGUGGAACUCUCGACGAUGGGAGUCAGCUACUAAGUGAGUAUGACGAUAUUCAGGAGGUAGAUGGCUGGAAUCAUUAAGAGUUCAUCAGCAGCUGAUGGUGGAGAAGUGUGAGAACCUAGGAAGAGCCUAGGGAGUAGCGUUAGUCAGAUGAGUACGCUGGCAUAGUAGAGCAUUUCGCCGAGGAGCAAGCACGCGUGACGGGAUUGGUGAACGAGAAGGUUGAGCUGCUACUUAGGAGCUCUGGGAUGGUCCGUGUGGAAAGUAUGGGUAGAUGUGGCAAGUAGUAUGGGCCCGUACUACCGAAAGUAGAGGAGCCAUACUCGAUACAGGGAGUAUUCUAAAGGUUCUAAGUAGCAUAUUGAGGAGUGAUGUUAUGGUUCGAGUACCAUACAUCGUAGCAAAUUGAGGAGUGAUGUUAUGGUUCGAGUACCAUACAACGUAGCAGAUUGAGGAGUGAUGUCAUGGUUCGAGUACCAUGCAUCAUAGCAGAUUGAGGAGUGAUGUUAUGGUUCGAGUACCAUACAUCGUAGCAGAUUGAGGAGUGAUGUUAUGGUUUGAGUACCAUACAUCUUAGCAGAUUGAGGAGUGAUGUUAUGGUUCGAGUACCAAGCAUCGUAGCAGAUUGAGUAGUGAUGUUAUGGUUCGAGUACCAAGCAUCAUAGCAGAUUGAGGAGUGAUGUUAUGGUUCGAGUACCAAGCAUCAUAGCAGAUUGAGGAGUGAUGUUAUGGUUCAAGUACUAUAUAUCAUUGCAGAUUGAGGAGUGAUGUCAUGGUUCGGAUACCAUGCAUCAUAGCGGAUUGAGAAGUGACGUCAUGGGCUGAGUACCAUGCUUCGUAGCAAAUGAUGCUCGUGGUUCUCCGGUUAUCCGGUUAUGAUUGAUUAGGUGGAGAUUGGACACAAUGGAGUUUUAGUCCUGAGGGUCAUGAUUGAGUCCGAAGAGGCAUCCCUUGAGAAGGAGGUAGAGAGCAUUUCAAAGUAUUUUUGGUAAGAUGUCAAAUGUAGUCGCAAGACUCAAGGAUGAGUAGAGAUGGCAGUUAUGGAGGAUCGUGGCAUGAGUUGAGCAAUCAGCCGAUGGUGGAAAUGUCAUUUUCUGUGACCUGAGUGGUGUUAUUUUUGUUCCUGUGGGAAACAGGAGAGGUCUUGAGAUUUUUGGUUUCCAAGGAUGGGGGUGAGCCCUGUGGGGUGGCUUUGGUUACAAUCUUUCAUCAGAGUAUUUAGGCAGUAUGUCUGCCGAGAGGUAAUGUUAGAGCCUGAGCAAGGUAUCAGCGGAGACCGAGAUGGUUAAGGACAAGGAUACACCCUAUCUGAGCAUAGUAGGGCAUGUAUUAGCUGCAGCGGCAGACGAUCAAGAAGAGGAUAUUGGGGCGGUGGCUCUUAUUGUCUAUGAUGAGUAUCGAGUGUGGUAACGAGGAAUCCACUCUUAUUACGACCCACAUGAUGGAACGUUGGCUGAAGAGUCGAGGAUGAGGAAUAUGUAGUUCGUGAUUUUCAGACUAAGAGUCAGGGUUACGAAUGGACAGUUGAUAUGUCCAGUAGUGGGAUGGUACGAGAUUCUGAAUGACUAGAGGUAGUCAUGAUGAGAAGUUUCUGAGGACUUCAUUGCAGAUUUGGAGAAUUUGGAAUUACUUGACCUCCAUCAGGGAGAUCAUCAAGCAAUGCGUAUCACCUUCCAAGAGUAAGUGUGAUGUUAUUGGUAAAAACAGUCUGUGGGUUAGACUGUUGGCAAACCAAUUGGUGAUAGAUCAAACCCUAAGUGGGGGAGAACUGAGUACUUUUGAGGAGAUCUGAGAAUUGUUCAAGAGCGAUUAGAGAACUGGAUAGAGAGGCCUGCGGUGCGAAUUCCUGAGACCAGAGUUAUUGGUGGUCAAGGAGAGGUGCAGAGCGAGAUAAUGCAUGUAGUACGUGUUUGAGAAAGGAUGAGUGUCUCCACGGCAAGUGGCCGUUGGUCGGAGACCCUAUAGUGGUUAGGAAUCCUUCAAGGUUAAAAUGGUGAAAUCGAGGUGGUUGGCUUGCGAGGUUAGUUCGACGGUUGAGAAUUUCUAGUUCAGAGUAUGGGCUAUUAUAUGCAAUAUGGGAAGGAAAGAAGUUGAUUGGGCGACCAACCUUAGGGUCGGUCGGUGUAUUCUUGCAUGUGUUUUGAGCAAUAAAGGAGGGAGUUUCAGAUGGUUGUCAUCAUGUUCCGAGUCAUUGUCGAUUCAUCAGUGUUUCGAUUGAGAGUUGGGAUACUCCGAAGUUGCGCAUUGUGUGAAAUGAAGGAUAGUUAUGAUAUCCUGAGGGAAUGCAUGGGGGUAUCCGAGUAUGAUGUCCUGAAUUUCGAUUUAUAUUAGAGUCGUGAAUUUGAGGCGGCAAGUGGUGAAUUAAGUAUCUACGGUUCCAGUGGGAGCCCUUCGGGUAUUUCCAUCAAGAGGGAUUAUUUAAGAAUAUGGAUCUCAGCAGGGAAGGUAUUUUGUUAUGGCGGUCGCCGUCAGAGUCUGUGAUGCAUAUUUGGGUCAAGUGUAUGUAGCUAUUUAUGAUAGUCUGCAAAGCAUGAGUUAGUGGACGUAGUGUGGUGUUGUAGUGAGAAUGAGAUUAUGGGGUGGAUAGAGAGGGUGUUGUGAUGCUACGGGGAGUCGUAGUACUCGCAAGUCAGAGAGAGGGAGUUGUGAUACUACGAGGAGCCGUAGUAUUCACUAGUCAGAGGGUGUUGUGAUGCUACGGGGAGUUGUAGUACUCACAAGUUAGAGAGAGGGAGUUGUGAUACUACGGGGAGCCGUAGUAUUCACUAGUCAGAUGGUGUUGUGAUGCUACAGGGAUCCGUAGUACUCACUAGUCAGAGGUUGUUGUGAUGAUACGAGGAGUUGUAAUACUUACUAGUCAUCGAGAGGUCAUCAUGAUGCUGCGGGGAGCAAUAAUACUCACUAGACGAUAAGAGAGGGUGAUGAUGAAGUGAUCUACAAUCAGAGUAUGAUGCAGAAGGGUUUUAGGCUUGAGUAGCCCUAGUAUUGAGUUUUUGGAGCCUGGUGGUUGGACCAGGGGCGAGACUGGGGUCUCCGUCUUUUUCGGAAAUCGCUAUAUUCCGAAUUGAGUGGUGGUUUGCGCGCAGGUUGCGAGUCAUGAGUUUUGAGGUGAGUGUUUCACUGGGAUGAGUAGUUCCAACUUUGGGGCAGACCAAACUCUCAAGUUGAGUUUGGCUCUGGUGAUGCGUCAGGUAGGCGGGUUGAGUUUCAGAUUUAGACAUGGAUUACGUGUUAAGAAGGGGGUUAUUGUUGUCACUAAUAUCUUAGACCUGAGCAGGGUCAGUUCGAGGGCCUUUAUCUGGCGAUGCGAGAAGGAACUCAGUGAGACAUUUUGGAUCAUGUUAUGGGUAACCAUGGAGGUUCAACUAUUGGGUUGAGGUCAGACCUCAUGUGAUGUUAAAAGAGAUAUGGAAUGUGGAGCUGAGGUUUAUGAAUGUGAUGUUUGAGGACACUUCUGAGCGAGCAUGGUUAUGCUUUUGUGUCUAAGGUCAGAGUGUUGGGGAUUCUUUGUUCAGAUGGUUUCUGAUAGCAGUCUAGUAGAUGUGCCACGGUGGAGUGUGAGCCCUUUAUUUCGUGGGGCGUGAUUCGUAUGAUUUAGCAUGAUCGGCUUGGAGGAGAGAUAGCCGGUUGUUGGAUGUGGUCUUAUGAGAAUCAGAGAGCCAGUGAGGAAACUGGGUUGAUAUUCGAGGAGCAAAUAUCAUGGUGAUCGCUCAAGUAGGCGGGCUGGCGGAGGGUCAGGCCACUAGAGUUUCUGGUUAUUGGGAAGGAGUAUUUUAGCGGCGAAAGAGUUGGUUUAAACUCUGGUUUUGGAGGUUCUAUGUGGUUUCGGGUGUCCAUAGAUAAAGACAUCAGUGUGGUAUCAAGAUCAUUUUGGUAGUGCCUUUCGGGUUAAUGAUUUAAUCUAUGUGUGGUUAAAGAAUGAUUUCGAGGGCGAAAUCUAAUUCAAGUGGGGGAGAAUUGUAACAUCCCGAAUUUUCAGGGUUAUUAUUGUGUAGGCUAAUCUUUUGAUUAAAUGAGAGACUCGACGAGUUGAGGAUCCAACUCUCCGAGUCGAGUCGGGUUUCUCACGCGAAUUUAAUGAGUGGACUCGACGAGACAGAGGAGGGACUCGCCGAGUAGGGGCUGGGCAGAGAAACCCUAAUUUCUCGGGUUUGGGACCUAUUUAAAGGUCCUUAUGGCCUUCAUUUGCGGCUACCACACCCUGAGAAACCAUAGAGAGCAGAAAGGAAGCUUGUAGUGUAAGCGGAGGGCUAAUUCAUCAUCCUUUGGAGUGUCUUAGCAAAGGGAAGGAAGGAUUUCGAGUUGGGCUGUCUUGUGGGACUCAAAUCUUCCAUCAUUUCGCUCAGAGUUGUUGUGAGAGGUAUGGAUUCAUGUCCAUCUGUGUUUGUUUUGUAGAUUUCAUGAAUCUAGGGUUUCUUCAUGCUUUAUUUAGCUUGAAUCUAGAGUAUGAUAGGUCCUAUGGUGAAAUGAUUCCUAGAUCUGGACCUUAAGAGGUCCAGAGAGUCCCUUCCAUUCUGCUUUAUCCCUUUUCCUUUGAGUUAUGAGCUAGGGUUGUCAUGAUAUGAAGGAUUUCACCAAAAUAAGCAUAGAGAUCCUUGCAUGUGUACAAAGAUUCGACCUUUACGUGGUUAUUGGUCGUAAGGAAGCCAGAUCUAUGGAUUAGAGGAACAGAUCUGACCUUAAAAGGUCAGAUGAGUGUUGUCAUGGGAGCAACUCGCCGAGUCCAUGGGAAGACUCGACGAGUCGAGUCGGGUUGCCCCGCGAUUCGAUUGCAGUGGAAACCCGUCGAGUGAGGACUUAGAGGAGUCGAGUGACACGCAUGGACCCGCCGAGUCACUCGUGUGCACUCAACGAGUCUGGUCAGAGUUGACCGUUGACUUGAAUUGACUUCUGUUGACUUUGGGGUUUUGGUCAACAUAAGUAAUAGACCUCAUAGAGGGAUAAAAUGGUCAUUUACCCACUACCCAAUUAGAGAAGGAAAGAGAAAUUGUCGGUUUAAUUAAAGAUAUUUACCUUAUGUGUUAGGCGGUGGCGAGUUCGAGAUUCAAGUGUAAGGAUAACUGCUUUCUGCUUUCAGGUGAGUCUUCUCACUAUACUUUUACCUAGAGUGGUAAUUGGAGUUACAUGACAGAGUAUCUUGUAUGCUAUUAUGUGAUUGUGAUACACUUAUUAUUGCUAUGUGAUUCUUGCCGUGUAUGUUCCAGAGUUUACAGAGUUGGAACCGGAAGGUUCAUAGAGUUAGAAUCGGAAGGUCCACAUGUGACAACCUGACAAUUUUACACUGAGCAAUCGAUCCAUAUAUCUAUAAUUCACUUGAAUUUAGCAUGUUUUAAUAGUAUAUUGAGUCCGCGCUAGUGUUUUAGGCUUAAUAUAUCAUAGAUAUGGACCUUGGGAAGGAUUAGGAAGGGUGUUGCAUCACUAAAUCUAGCCAAACACACCAAGAUAGGUGUGUGCGGCCAAGCCAGGCACACACCCAGCAGCAAACCCCUCCAGCCUCACACUCAACCCUAUAUAAAGGGGAGGACCCUCUUUCAUUCACUUUUGGCUGCAUCCUUUCUCUCUCUAUACUUUCUCACUCUAAAAAACCACCCAAGAACACCAAGAAGGCUCCCAAAACGUGAAGAACACCAUCAUUUAGCUUAUCAUAGAGGUAAAACACUUGAAUCCAAGCCUCAAACUCAUAAUGUUCUUCAUCCUAUGAAGGAGUGCGGCCGCACACCUUCAUCAGGUGGCCACACACACUCAUAAUACCCUCCAAAGUGAGAGUAAAGCCACAAAAUCAUCACAUGGGACUCAAGCAAGGAGUGUACAACCGCACACCCCUGUGUACGGCCGUACACUCUAGUGUGCAGCCUCACUCUAGUGUGCAGCCUCACUCACAAGGGCAAAAUCAGAGUUCAUUGAGGUAUUCUUCGGAUUCCUUCUGUUUUAUGAUUUAAACCUCCAUUAGAACACUUUUAGGGCUAGUUUGAUGUAUUUCCCAAACCCUAUAGUUGUAUGGAUGCCUUAAUAGGUCGAGAUAUCCUUAAAUCUGUUCAUUUAGGAGUUGUAGAGCCCGGAUCUAUUGCCUUUUUGAAGACACUUUGCAUGAGAACCCUAGAUCUAGCCUUUAUUAUGCUUUUUGAGCCAUUUUAUCUUCAUGGAUGCAUAUGGGCACGUAAAGAUAGAAUCUUUACGUGCUAAUCGAGUUAAGGGAGCCCAGAUCUAUAAGUUUUAUACACUGGAUUCAAGCAUAAUCGAGUUUAGAGUUGCUGCAUGCAAGCGACUCGGCGAGUCGGAAGAACGACUCGGCGAGUCGAGUUGUGGGUCCCCGAUUUUUCCCUUUUGAGUGAUGCCGAGUGGGGACCAGUGAGUAGUAGAGUAGACUCAGCGAGUCGGAGGUCAGACUCAGUAAUGCAGGGACUUGGCGAGUUGUUCAUACAACUCGGCGAUUCCAAGGCAAUCUUCUUAGCUCGAAGAACAACUCGUCGAGUUGUUCAUACGACUCGGCGAGUCGGAUGCAGAUUGCCUGAGUUUUAGAUUCGAAAGGGAACUCGUCGAGUUGAUGCCAUACUCGACGAGUAGCAGCGAGUAGGGUUGAGAAGUGAGAAUAGGGACUCGGCGAGUUGGCGGCCCAACUCGGCGAGUCAGGUCAACUGUAGGUUGACUUUGACCAGGAGAGUUGACUUUGACCAAGGGUAAAAGAGUCAUUUUACCCCAGUGCAGUGAUUAGCAUUUGAUUGAGUGUGUUAUGGAUUUGUAGCCGGGGAGAUACCGGAGCAGCAGCAGUUAGCUUCCAGANNNNNNNNNNNNNNNNNNNNNNNNNNNNNNNNNNNNNNNNNNNNNNNNNNNNNNNNNNNNNNNNNNNNNNNNNNNNNNNNNNNNNNNNNNNNNNNNNNNNNNNNNNNNNNNNNNNNNNNNNNNNNNNNNNNNNNNNNNNNNNNNNNNNNNNNNNNNNNNNNNNNNNNNNNNNNNNNNNNNNNNNNNNNNNNNNNNNNNNNNNNNNNNNNNNNNNNNNNNNNNNNNNNNNNNNNNNNNNNNNNNNNNNNNNNNNNNNNNNNNNNNNNNNNNNNNNNNNNNNNNNNNNNNNNNNNNNNNNNNNNNNNNNNNNCAGUGGGCAAGGCCCAGUAUGUGCUUUAUAUGUAUUGUAUGGUAUGUGGUAGUUUGGGGGAGCUCACUAAGCUUCGUGCUUACAGUUUCAGUUUUGGUUUCAGGUACUUCCGCAAGCAAAGAGAAGAGCUCGGGAUGAUGGCAUCGCACACACCACAACUUCAGUUUUUGUCCUGGAAGUUGAUUCAGUUUCUUGAUAUGUUUUUAUACAGUUGUGAUACAGUUUUCCUCACAGUAUUUACUAUGGUUUGAGAUACAUAGUGUGUGGUUUUAUUAUAUGAUACUCAGUUUCAUGGGUUGUUAUAAUAAAAAUCGAAAAUUUUUGGGUCGUAUUUUUGGGUUGUUUCAAGUACUUUAUUCAAUUCUUGUAAUUAAGAGUACUUUAUUCAAUUCUUGUUAAUAUAUUCUUGAAUUCAUUUUCUCCUACAAAUAUUUUGGUUAUUUACUAUGAUUAUUUUGUUUCGAAUUUGUAUAACAACUAAUUCUAGUAGAUUUGAGAUUUUUGUUAAAAUAAUUUUUUUGUUUAAAUAAUCAAGCUAAUCAUAUUAUUCAAGCAUAAUUCAAAANNNNNNNNNNNUAUAUAUAUAUUGGCGUGGUUUGAUUUUUAAGGUUAGUUUCUAACAUAAACUGCUCCAAAUCAACUAGGAUUGGUUUUUGCAAAAUUGAAAAACCACGUUGUUAGUUAUUGUAUUGGUUUUGGUUUCUCGGUUUCGACUGUUAUUGUGAUCAAAUUAAAUAAUUAUAUAAAUAUAUGGUCUAAAUGUCUUAUUAUAAUUAUGAUUUAGGAAUUAAUUAGGAGUAAAUAGAAAAAUUAUGAAAUUUUAAUUUCAAAACCCGUCAUUUAAAUUGGAGUCAUAAAUUCUGAUUUUUGGGUGAAUUAGAAAAGUUACAAACUUAGGCAUUAUACAUAGCUUGAAAAAUCCUACAAAAAACACACUAGAAGUGCAAGAAAAGGUUGAGAAACCAGAGAAGAAUCCAUGAAGGAAGUUGUGAAGUUAUUUUUCAGAGUUCUAGCAAAUUAAGGUACGAUCUCCUGAUUUUAGCAUGUUACAGUCGUUAGGAAGAUUUAUAUGCAUGUUUUAGGAGUUUUGGUUCUACCUCGUGUGUCUCUGUUCGGGUUAAUAAGUUGUGAUUCCACGAAAAUAUGAAAUGUUAAAACUUAUGUAUAAAAGCUUGUAUAAAAGCUUGAAUGCAUCUCAAUUUGGAGCUUAUUUUUAUAGUUGACUUUGGAUAUUUGUUAGUAAGAAAUGGAGAAAAAUAAUGGUGAUUUUUUUAUAAUGGUUUAGUAAGAAACUAGAUUAUGACCCGCGUUAAAUGCGGGAACGCAUAAAUAAAAUAUAAAUGUAUAUAGAUAUUACAGAAUAAUUAUAAAAAAUCAGGGUUAUUGGUAUUAUUGAAAUGUGUAGAAAAUACACUGAAAUCAGUAAAUAUAUAUAGUCGUUGAAUGACCUCUUUGUGAACAUUUUUUUGUUUGAUUAGUUGAACGACCUUUCUCGUAACAAAGUAUCUUCAAACAUUUUUUACUUGUGACAUGAAAAAUAGUUACAUAUAGUUGACCAUGCGCAAAAACAGGUUUACGCAAGUAUAAUCCAACAUUUGACAAUGUACUUUCAAAAUACAUUGUUAUUUCAUGGUUAUAUUGAAAAAUAUAAUUGUUUAUUUCAAAAUUAGAAACGUAUUAAUGUUUAUUCGAAAUGAACCACAUAAACCCCCCACAAUAUUAAAUACAAAAGAAACUCUAACAAAUAAAUAUAAAAACAGUUAUGUUUGCUCGAUUUAGAUUUUGCCCGUGACUCAUUGAAAAUGUUAAAAAUACAUAAUUGACACACAAAUUACUUGUUAUUAUGAGACGAAUUAAACAAUAAACACAUGAUGAUGUCGGUUUUUUAUUAAUUUUUAUGAUAAUGAUAAAAUAAUGAAAAAAUGAAUGUUUACUUCAAGACAUUUGCAGACGUUUGUGUAAGGUCUAUGGUCUUAACUGUUGAGUAUUCAUAUCUUUUACAUAUAGCUAUUAAAUGGUUAUUUAAAGAUGAAUUAAAAUUUAUUUCUAUUUCUUGCCGAUUUAGAAGUAUAUUUCGAUCAUUUUUGCAUUAGAUAAAAAACAUAUAGAUUCUUUUAGUAUUACUGCAAUCCUACUUUCAUAUAAAAUUAAUUUUUUUGCAUCAGACCAAACUCAGUGUUUUUCAGCAUUAUUAUCAUCCUAUAUUAUACAUUCUUGAUGGUUUUGAAAAGUUCGCUUCAAUUUCUCAUUCCUUUUUAAAAGUUCAUUGUUAUUUCUUGUUGCUUUUAGAAAUAAGUUGUAGACUAUUUUUUUGUAUCAGACCAAAUUUGAAGGUUAUUUUUGUAUUAUUACCAUCGUAUAUAUUCCAUUUCAUUUUUAUUAUUUGAAUAAAGUUUUUGUAGUUCAAAACUCAUACGAAUAUAAGAAUACUGACUAUAUAUUAACCGAUUCUUUAUAAUGUAUAAUUAAAAAUCAAGACAGUAUAAUCAUAAUUUAUUGAUGUUAGAUAAAAUGUAAUUUAUUUGGCGAUGAGGUUAGUUUUUGGUUAUUUAUUUGGGAAUUAUAAUAUGUAUUAUGCAUUACAAGUAUCUAUCUUUCGAAUUUAACAUUUAUUACUUUCGAAUUUUAUUUUGGUUUGACAUAGGCAUGAUCAUCUCAUAUUUAAUACUUUGUUGUUCUUGCACCUUUACUACCUGUUGACUUACAUUCAUUAAAUCAAGAUUUAACAUUUACAAAAAAGGGAUAAUUUCAUUUAUAUCCUUGGAAACUUUAAAUAUUACAUCUAUAUCCUUGGAAAUUUAAAAUUUACGCAUAUAUCCGUAUGAAACUAUAAAACUCACAUUCAUAUCCAAACACAUAAUUUAAUUAGGUUUAAAUUAAUUUAAUAUUAAAAACAUAUCUAAAAUUCAAAAAUCCAUAUGAUUAUACUAAAAUGCCCUUUUCAAAUUAAAAAUUAGCAUUAAACCAAUUUAAAAGCAACUACUUGCAGAAUGUGAAUCGGCUAAACCUAAUUUUGAAAUGGCUAAACUUAUUAUAUGCGAGCAUUGUUAGAAAUGAAAACCAAAAAGAAUUCUUUCGAGAAUGAUGAAGCCACUUAACGUGAAACAAAUGUUGGGUCCAUGGAAUGUUACUUGGCCAAUUAACGUUGAAUAAAUAUCAUAACCCCAAUCUCGUAAGCACUAUGACUUUUAUGAGGAUCUCUUGUGUGAUCUACUGACUUUACUUUCGAUGAUACUUUCUCAUUUUUAUAUUAUAAUUUCAUUUAGUAAAAAGUCAAUAAUAAUAUAUAAGAUUAACGAAUUGUUCCAACGAUUAGCAGAAUCAAGAAGAGAAAAGGAUAAUUGGGCAUAGGCAACAAUUGAAAUCAUAGCUUCGACAAGGAAGAAAUGGCGGCAUGAAGUUUUUGUAAUAUUUAGUUAGGUUUAAUUAUAAUUAAAUUGGUUUAAUGUUAAAGUUUAAUUUGAAGAGGGCAUAUUAGUACAAUUGAAUGAAAUUUUGAUUUCAAAAUAAGAUUUUUUAAUACUAAAAAAAUUUAAAGCUAAUUAAAUAUGAGUUUGGAUAUAUAUGUGAGUUUUAUAGCUUGAGGCGGAUAUAUAUGUAAUUUUAAAAUUUAUAAGGAUAUAUAUAUAUAUGUAAUAUUUAAAGUUUCUAAGGAUAUAAAUGAAAUUAUCCCUAAAAAAACAAAUAUAGACAAGAAACUAUUAAACUUUUGUGAUAUCAAUAAUACAAAAUUGGACCAUUUUCUACAGAAUAAUUUUAAAACCGAAGAGAACCUGAUUGCCCAAAUACCCAACAUCAUUAUUUAAGUCAUAACCUGUUAUAUGACAAUAAAAUUGAAAAUUUCAGCCAAAACUCUGUUACAUGUCAUCAAAGUUGAAAAAAUAUCCUUUAAAGUUAGACGAGGGUAUUAAUAUAAAAAAUCGUCUUUCACUUUUUGUUGGAUGUAUUUUUUUGAUGACAGGAACAAUUAUCAGUCCAAACAUAAUCCGUAAAACCCAUCAUAGCCAAAUCAUAGAUUGCUUAAUCAACAAAAAAAUAUUACAGUCGUAGAUGGUAAUCAAGUUAGAACAUCUUUUUCUUAAAGACCAAGAAAUGGACAAUUUAUUAGAAUCACAUCACACUGAUAAAAGUCAUAACAAAGUGCAAUAGAUUGAAUCUAUAGUUUACAAUAAAUAUAAAAAAUAAAGCCUUGUCGGAGAUAGAAAAACUUGAGGACGAGACAAAAAAACACGUAACACAACAAAGUUGCAAACAUUAAAAACACAUGAUGCUAAUAAAUCUAUAAAAAAAAAAAGCAAAAUUUAUACCUGGUUGUAAGAUUAGUGUAGAGAACUUGUGUUAGAUUCUUUUUAACAUUUUGUCAAACACCUAAGGUGCAUGUUCUAAUAACCCAUCUUUUGAAUGUAACAUGACAAAAAAAUCCAAUGUUAUAUAAGAAAAGUAUAGGAAAUGAACUAAACUAACAUGUAUUUAGAUUAUGCAAAUUAUUUUGAACAAUCUUCCUUCAAAAAUAUAUUUAUUGUUGUUUCAUACUUACAUACAAAGUUUAAUUGAAAAAAUUUAAUUGUAAUUAUGCAAUUUGAUUCUACCAUAUAAAUACAACCACAUAGAAAAUUUAAGAAUCAAAUAAAAACUUUGUCUAUAAUACCGUAAAUUUGAUAUUUAAACAAAUAAGAUCAUUCCUAAUUUAGAUUCUAACUUCUUAGCCCGCUUUUGAUAUGGUUCAUGUAUUAAUAUCUAGAGAAACCGGUAUGCAAGGAUGUUGAUAUUAAGUGUGGUAUAUUGUUGUUACCGAUAAAAAAAGUUGUAGUUUACAUUAAAAGUUCUUAUUUCAUGGUAAGUAUGUUGCUAUAAUUUGUAAAAAAAAUCACAUAGCUAUUUCAGUUUAUAAUGGUUGUUGAGGAUUAAGUCCAAGUUAGUAGAUUAAGCAUUUAAUAUGAAAAGUUGUACAUUGUUGUUUUGUUUGACUUAAUCUAGACUGAAUGAUGUAAUAUGUUAAACCAAAAUAACCUUAUGUAAUGUUUUAUGAGAUUUCAAAAAUAGAAACAUAAUUUUGUUAGUCAUAGAAAACAAUCUUUGAAAGGUUGUAUUUACUGUACAGAAACAUAUACAAAUUAGAAUAGUUAUAGUUUAACCCUUUAUGGAUUAAAUUGUUUAUAAAAUCCAUCCCAUUAAUAGUGAAUAAAAGAUAAAUUAAAAGACAUUUACAACACGAAAAAAUCACAACAUGUUACUGUUAAAAAUGGUAUAACAAUGUACUUAAAACAUACAUUCCUAAAAAUAGUAUAAUAUGAAGUUAUUAUAUUCGACAAUAAAGUCAGAAACAAUAACCAAGUUGAGAUAAUCAAACAAACAUAAAUAGUAGCAACAACCGAUUUGAUCCAUUUUUAAAUUAAAUUACCAAUUUACCCUUUUGAUGAACAUAGUCCAUACUAAAUUAAUGAUUUAGACUUCGGAUAAAAAAUGGAAGUAUCAUGCUAAAAGAAUCAUUUUAGUAUACGUGUCAUCUUAAUAUCUAUUGUUGAUAUGCUUUUCCAUCCCAAUGCUUUUUAUAGUUUCUUAAGUCAAAUUACCCUUUUGCCCUUACGUUUCCUUACUUAAAGGUUUCCUGCAUUUAAUUUGCUAUUAAAUUAAAAUAAAUCACAUAAAUUUAGGAGUUUAUUGAUACCUUCAAAAGGUAAAUUCGAAUAUUCCAUCUUUAUUCUAUCACAAAUAAAUUUACCUUUCUGCUCAUAAACCUUCAAAUCAUACUUAAUAUUUAAAAAAAAUUCAUCUAACAAUAUCAAUAACCUUUAGUUAUGAUUUCAAUUUAAAGUUAGAAAUGUUGUGAUUCAACCAUCAUACAAAAAUAUUAAUUUACAUUCAAACACUAAAAAAAUAUAUCUUUAUUAAUUAAACGAAAGAAGCGACUAACCUUCUAGUGCACAACAACGAAGGUUUGAAGCAGAUAAUGAUGAUGGAAGUUAUAAACAAUAAGAAUGAUAUUGUAGGAGAAGGUUUGAAGCAAAGCAACGAUUAGAAAUAAGUGUGAGCCACAGAUUCAAAGAUGAAUUGUAUAUGUAUGUCAUAAUUUGAAUCUGAUUUUUGGUAUUAAUGGUUUCCUAAUAAAAAUGGAUUUUAUAUUAAUGGUUUACUAAUAUAAACAAAUUUAUAUUAAUGGUUGAUAUUUAUUGCCUUAAUUGAAAUAUUUUUUGUAAUAUGUUUUUAAUGUUGACCAUUUUAAAACCUUUAUAACCGGAAAUUCAAGAUUUAAAAUAUGAGAAACUUUUAUUAGAAUUAAAUACAUUCCAUUUCAAUAGAUUUAAGUUAAUUUUGUUUGACAAUUAGAAAUCUUUUAUUGGAAUUAAAUAUAUUUAAUUUGAAGAAGAUGAUAUCAUCAAUUUGAUCUAAGGGUGGAAAACAUAGGAUUGAAAUACAAUCAAUGGCCAAAAUUGUUUUAAUAUAUAUNCAAUGGCCCAAAUUGUUUUAAUAUAUAUUAAAGAUAACAAAAUUAUUGAUAUGUUCAUUUAAUGAGUUUUUUAAAAAAGAAAAAACUGAACAUGUUUGAAUUUUGAAGCCAAAAACUAUAAAUAAGGGAGUUAAAUUAUGAACAAUAUUAAUUAGAGUAAAUGAUGGCAUAGAUCGUCAAAAGAUGGAGAUGCUUGCUUCAGUUUGUAGAGAUUUGUGUGAAGCCAAAACAGAGGUGUGAUAAUUGGAGAUGCAAAGAAGAAGCAAUACGUAAAUUCUAAGAAUACAUGAGCAAAAAGGAACCAACUUAUGGUGCUACAUUCUGUUAUGAACACACAAAGCAUCAAUUGAAGCACAACCGUUGACAUGAGGACGAAGAGACUUAAGGAAUUAUGGUUUAAGAGAAAAAAUAGAGGAGAAAUAUGGGGCGACUAUUCAUGUUUUUGACAAGAUUUAUGGAGAAACCGAUACCNUAUGUCAUAAUUUGAAUCUGAUUUUUGGUAUUAAUGGUUUCCUAAUAAAAAUGGAUUUUAUAUUAAUGGUUUACUAAUAUAAACAAAUUUAUAUUAAUGGUUGAUAUUUAUUGCCUUAAUUGAAAUAUUUUUUGUAAUAUGUUUUUAAUGUUGACCAUUUUAAAACCUUUAUAACCGGAAAUUCAAGAUUUAAAAUAUGAGAAACUUUUAUUAGAAUUAAAUACAUUCCAUUUCAAUAGAUUUAAGUUAAUUUUGUUUGACAAUUAGAAAUCUUUUAUUGGAAUUAAAUAUAUUUAAUUUGAAGAAGAUGAUAUCAUCAAUUUGAUCUAAGGGUGGAAAACAUAGGAUUGAAAUACAAUCAAUGGCCCAAAUUGUUUUAAUAUAUAUUAAAGAUAACAAAAUUAUUGAUAUGUUCAUUUAAUGAGUUUUUUAAAAAAGAAAAAACUGAACAUGUUUGAAUUUUGAAGCCAAAAACUAUAAAUAAGGGAGUUAAAUUAUGAACAAUAUUAAUUAGAGUAAAUGAUGGCAUAGAUCGUCAAAAGAUGGAGAUGCUUGCUUCAGUUUGUAGAGAUUUGUGUGAAGCCAAAACAGAGGUGUGAUAAUUGGAGAUGCAAAGAAGAAGCAAUACGUAAAUUCUAAGAAUACAUGAGCAAAAAGGAACCAACUUAUGGUGCUACAUUCUGUUAUGAACACACAAAGCAUCAAUUGAAGCACAACCGUUGACAUGAGGACGAAGAGACUUAAGGAAUUAUGGUUUAAGAGAAAAAAUAGAGGAGAAAUAUGGGGCGACUAUUCAUGUUUUUGACAAGAUUUAUGGAGAAACCGAUACCUAAUAUAUAAAUAGAAUGAUAUGCUUCAAUUGAUAACAUAAUUGCUGAUUUUAAAGAUUCUAUAAUUAAAUGUAAUUGUGCUCGAAUUGUGAAAUAUAUUUUAGAAAGUAUGAUAUAUUCUAUAAUUAAAGAUUCUAUAAUUAAAUGUAAUUGUGAUUGAAAUUUAGUUGCUAAAUUUAAAGAUCCUAUAAUUAAAUGUUUGAAUUAUAUUUGGAGAAGAUGAUGUUAACAAUUUGAUCUAAGGGUGUAAAUCAUAUGAUUAAAAUACAAUCAAGGAUCAUGAUUGCUUCAUUGGUGAAUUAAGGGUUCUCUUUUAAUAAUAUUUAGAGAUGGAGAAAAAUAAUGGUAAUUUUUUUAUAAUGGUUUAGUAAGAAAUGGAAAAAAAUAAUGAUGAUUUUUUUAUAAUGAUUUAACAUAAUGUUCGGUAAUAUUUGAGCUUUAUUAGUUCAAAAAUGGCAGAAAUAGAAAAAAAAAUGGGGUAUAGAAGAAUGUAAUCCGGGUCUUUUUAUUCUAUGGGUUAACAUAAGGGUGUCGAACGGGUAAAAUUUCUAGGUUUCGGGUAGAACAGGUAUUUCCUUAAGAAAAUAAUACCCGAAACCCGACCUAUAUUGUAAUUUGGGGUUUUCGGGUUUCGGGUAUUCGGGUUUGAGGUCGGGUCGGGUAAUUAUCGGGUAUACCCGAAAAUUUCUUAAAUGACAUUUAUUGAUAUUUUUUUACAUGUUGGUUGGUUAAAUAAAGAAUUGGGUAGAAAAAUACUUAAUACAAUUAACAAGUACAUCUAUAAUAACAAUAAAAAUCGUUAUAAUAUGUUAUGCACUUUUUAAUUCCAUUACGUGCGAUAGAGAGAAACUGAGAAUUGUGAUGACGGUUCAGGACUUCAGCUUCAGCGUCGUAUUCCCUUUGCAAGUUUGUAUUGACUGUCGAGCCGUCGUUCAUAAAAGGAAACGAAGAGUUUUGUUUUAUUUGAAGUAUACAUACGUGAUUGCAUUAUAUAUUUGAUAUUAUUUAAAAAACGAAUUCGGGUAUACCUGAAAAUAAAUAUUCAUACCUAAAACUCGACCUAUAUUAUUAUCGGGUUAACUUAUUACCCGAAUAUUGAUACCCGUUACCCAUUCUACAUGACCCACUCUACCCAAAUUCGGAAUGGAUCGGAUAGAUAGAACGGAUUUCGAAUUUUUUCGACAAGCCUUGUUAACAUAACCUUUUUUUUAAAAAAAAGAUGCCAGUAAAAGUACCAAAAAAAAAAACCAUCGUUGUCCUGCGCCUAGCUUAAUUUUGGAAACCUCGAAUUUACUAUUUAAUCCCUAAAGUUUGGUAAUCUGUUUAUAUUUUUAUUAAUAGAGCUAGACAAUUUCAACUUGUGUCCUUGUAUAAUGUUUCUUUUGAAUAUAAUAUUCAAGGUACAUAAAUGGUCCUUACACUAUCAAUACAUUGACGAUUCAAAUUUCAUUUUAAGUAUGAUACGUAAUGGGAGAUGUGAAUCGCCAAAACGGUCCUAAAGUUUUAAUAACUUGAUAGUGUUUAUUAUUGUUAACUUUUUUAAAACUUUUGUAUUUUAAAGGGUUAAAUAUAUUGACUAUGAGUAUAAAUUUUAAGAGUCAAACAUUAUUAAUAUUGGAAUUUCUACAAUAAAAAAAAUAUAAUAUUUUACUAAAAUUGUUACGAACAUUGUAAUUAACGUAAUUCAAUAAUUAUUAGAUGACCAUGAGACAUAUGGAUGGUUGAGCCAAAAAAAAGGUGAGUAUGAUAUUUUUAUAGGAUUAUAGACUUAGAAAAUAUUGUUGGUGGAAUGUAGGGUUGCGGAUAUCGUGGUAAGCUUCAGUUAAGACACAACUACAAUGAUGUGAGUAUUUCGUGUUUUGUGGUUGGUCGUACAUAAAUGUUUAUCAUGCGUUUAUUAUGCGAUUUUUAUUUAUUUACUGACAGUAUGUUUUAUGAUAAGUAUGGUUGCAUGCAAAUGUUAUUUUAAAUUUGUUAUCUAUUUGUGUGUGUUUUUGGAUGACAUGUUUAACGAGAAUGGGUGGGUGUUUAAUCGUCAUGAGCAUGACGGACGAGUGUGAUUGGCUGGGGAUCGGAAUUGAGAAUCAUACUCAUUUCCUUGGAUAUUUAAAAUACUUGAGUACAAUGGAUGAUGAUUUAUCUCAAGGAGAAAGGAAAUUAAUCUUUGAUUCUUUCUCUGGAUAAUUAACCGUUCCCCUAAAUUAUGUCAUCAGGUGAUAUGUUUUGUUAUAUGAUUUAUCGAAACUAUAUGAUAAGACCUUUUGUUUUUUUUUAAGUGAGGAAUAUGUAUGUGUAACACGAACUCACUAGGCCAUACGCUUACCUAUUUAGAAACUUUAAAUGUGUGCAACCCAGGAAACUAUUUAGCAUGUGACAAAGAAAAGUCCAAGGAGAAAGAUUGAUCCAGAAGAGGACAGAGGAAUUCGACAAAGACAUAACACCCGAAGUUGUUCAAUUGAAUAUUUUCUUUUAUUUCAUUUUGCUUCGGCUGUGAUUUGGUCAAUAAGUAAGUUUAGAAUUGGUCUUGAGAUGUUGAAACGAUUAUUUUUCAUUUAAUUGAUAUUUGAAAAUUAAGGUGUUAUAGUUCCGGUUUCUUUUGAUUCUUUUAUUCAGUUAUGUUUUUGCUCAUCCCUAAAAAAAAUCCUUGAUGCACUAUUUUUGGUUUAUAGUUUUUUGUAUGCUGUAUAGCUUCGCUAGGGUAGGGAUGAAAGUGGGUCCAAACCCGGACCCGAUGGACCCGGACCCGGAAAACCCGGAACCGAUUAACGGGAUUUUAUAGAAUCAGAAACCGGACCGGUAUAUAGGAACCGGUUCCGGUUCGGUUCCGGGUAUGGUUCCGGGUAAAGUGGGUCUAGAACCGAAAAACCCGGAAACAUCAAAGUGGGUAGGUUGGAACCGGAUAAAGUGGGUUUAGACCCGGAAAACCUGAAAAAACCGGAAUUUUUUGGUAAUUACUUACAACUUAGUGGGUUGAACUUUGAAAAUUUUUAUAUUGAUAUCCCCACUUUGGGGGGCUGUAACUUAUUGAAUACGAAACCACAAUUAACAAAAUUAGAGUCUAAAAUCAUGUACAAACUCUAAAAUACACUCUGGAAAAACCCGCUUGUCAAUCCGAAUUUAAACGAAUGAGAUAUACUUGUGUUAAUAUUUUCACAUAAUACAAAGUACAAAAACAAAUAGCUGAAAAGUUGAAAAUUUUCAGUUUUGAUAUCCCGACUUCGGAGGACUGUAAAUCAUUGAAUGUUAAACCAAAAAUGACAAACUUAUAGCCUAAACUCAUGUACAAACUAUAAACUAGAAGUUGGAAAAAACCACACGUCAAUCCGACUUCAAACGAAGUAGAUAUGCAUGUUUUAAAACUUUCACCAAAUACAAAAAAAACUAAAAACUUUUAGCUUUGGUAUCUCAACUUUUGAGGACUGUAAGUCAAUGAAUAUAAAACUAAAAAUGAAAAAUUUAUAGUCUAGAAUCAUGUAGAAACUCUAAACUACAUGUUGGAAAAAACCGUAUGUCAAUUGGAGUUGAAACGAAUAAGAUAUGCAUCUUGUAAACGUUUCACAAAAAGUGUUUCCGGUCCUAAAAGUGGUUCCGGUUUCAAAAACCGGUUCCGGAUUUUAGACCCGGUUUACCCGGACCCAAUGGACCCAAACCCGGAUUACCCGGAACCCGGAUAAAGCCAAUUUUUAAACCCGGAACCGGACCCGGUUCUAUAUAUUCCGGUUCUAACGGUUCCCGUUCCGGUUCCGGUCCGGUUUUCCGGUUCUAAAUCUCAUCCCUACGCUAGGGCUAUAUGUUGUAUGGCUUCUCUAUGGCUUAUAAUUGGUUUUGGUAACCUCCAAUGUGAAGUUUCCAUUUAUGUAUGUAUAGUUGGACCUAAUAUCGGCAUUGAACUUGUUAUAAUUGCAAAUAAUAUACUUUUUGUUAUGUUAACCCUUAUAGUAAUUAGAUGUUGGGUGUUGCAAUGUCGUCUACCAAACUAACCGUUUAUUAAAAUCAUCAACAAUACUAUUAAACGUCUUUGGUAUGGAAGCACGGAAGGUACCUUUAUCCCUCAUAAAAAUAAGAUGCAAUUCCAUUAAUAUCUCAAUAGUAACAAGCAAUGAAAGAAUUAAUAAAAAUGUUGAGCAAUAUUAUUGUGUAUAACAUAUAUAAAAUUAAAAAUACUCCAUUAUGUAUAUAUAAAAGAACAAAUAUCUUUAGUUUCAUUAACCACUUUCUAAAAUAUAGUAAAAUAUUAACAUAACCAUUUUUGCAUACGACAUCACGGUUUCACCAUUUUGAAUUAGUGGCUAUUUUGGUUAUUAUGUUAAUUUUUUACUAUUUUUUAAAAAGUAAUUAAUAAUCUUUAACAUUUUUCUUCUUGUUUCUAUAGCCGCUGCUUUUAACAGAAGAUACGUGCAUAAUCGUGGAUCAUAGAUAGUCCGACUCCUAGGUCUCUAAGUUAUUCUUUAUCAUGAUAAUAAUAAUAAUAAUAAAAAAUCUGAAUAUUUUAGUACACAUUCAAGGGACUAGAAUACUAGAUAGUUCCUGUAACCAGCGAUUCUAUAUAAGAUUAAAAUACAACAAAAGUUAUAUAAAAUAUAACAAAAUUUGACAUUUUAUCGAAGUUUACUUAAAUUUAAAGACAUAACAUCUUCUUUUUGAAACACAACCACCACUUCCAAAUUUAUUAAUCAAAACAAAUCAUAUAAAAAAAUUAGCCAGUGAGCUCCUCCUCCUUGUGGGUCUCGAUGGUGACGUCAGAGGUCGGAUAAGCCACACAGGUGAGCACCCACCCUUCCUCCAACUGGUCGUCGUCGAGGAAGCUGCCGUCUGAUUGGUCCAGACUGCCGGAGACCACUUUCCCGGCGCAUGAUGAGCAAGACCCAGCCCUGCAUGAGUAUGGCAGAUCGAUACCGACUUCCUCCAUGGCGUGGUCAAGGAUGUACACGUCAUCAGGGCACUCGAACUCCUGGGUUCCUUCCGGGGUCACGAGGGUGACCUUGUAUGUGGCCAUCAUGGUAACUCCGCCGCGGUUACGGAUGCCGGUGCUGGAUUUGAGUCCGAAGAGGGCUGCUGUUUUGUUGGAGGUGGAGAGAGAACGGAUGGCGGUGGUGGGCUGUUGGCGGCGGAGGAAGGAUGUGCUGGCCAUGGUGCCGGUAAGAGAUGCGGUUGCUGCUGCCAUUGUGGUGGUGGUUGUGGUUCGGAGAGACAGAGGGAGAGAUGGAAGGGAGUAGAAGUAGUGAGAAUGAGGAUAGCAAGGAGGGCUUGUGGAAAUAGUGUGUCUUGAGGAUGAGAUAUCUGCCACGUGUCAGAUUUUUGUGGUGUGCUUUAUCAUGUUAUCACAAUACGUCUAUUUUUUUCGCCAAUUUUCAUUUGUUUAUGGUAUUAUUUUAAUAGUAAACAUGAUCUUGGAUGUA